rnacentral:lncRNA from 1 species
GAGAAACAUGAAUCACUGGGCUUGGUAGUGGAGUGGCAGAACCUUCAGGCUCUCGGCCAAAACAGGCUUUCACUUCUGUCUCCCUCAUGGAAUAAAAAUAUGGGAAGACUUGGGAAGGUGCACUGUGAAGUAGGCAAUGGAUUUCCUGGGCUUUUUUCUCUAUGGUAUGCAACAAGGGUAAUAUUUCUAGAAUCCUCUUCGACUUCCAAACUUUGCAUGGGCAUUGGUAAGCAAGAACCAGUCAGAAUAGAACACACUAGAAAGGUUAAGAAGGGGCUGUUGAUUUUGGUUAGUCUUGAUACAGGAAAGCUCUUCUCCAGAGCUACCCAGCAUGCUUCCUGAGGAAAGGACACAUCAGAGAAGAGGUACCCAGUGGCUUCCUGGUCCCUGGCACACAAUCUCUAUAGACGCAAUCCUGGCAGCUGAGAACAGGAGGUGAUAGGAACAGGUGUGUACAUGACAGUACGUAGCUGCCUUUCAACUUCCUGGCUUGAGCUGUAUCCUCCAGAUACAGCCUCCUUAAGGCCUUAAUUCACUCACGUCAGCAGGGUGUGGGAGUGGGUAGAUGUUGUCAUUGUUCUUUACUGUAAGUGUAGCUAGGGGCUGACUCAUAUCUCAGGUUUUCUAUGUCAGUGAAUGGAUGGUCCUUUGACUAGGAUCUGACUUAAUGUUCCUAUGGUGAUUGUAAAACCAGCAUAGAAUGGCGUGGCUCAAAGCUGACGGGCUGGACCAUGAUGAGCACUGUGAGCCUCGUGGGCAUACUGGCUCUGGACAGAUAAGCUAUGUGUGGGCCUGAGAUGAACGCAGAGCAGAGACUGCACAGAGAGCACGGGCCACUCCAAGACACUGGUCAGCAGCCUGUGAUUAGAUUCUCAGAGCCUCACAGUAAAUUUGAUCCAUUGUGUACACACACUCAGUACGUAAGAACCCACCUUCUUAAAAUCUGGUCACACCAGUGAGACAGUUCCAGAAUGAAGCAGCAGCUCCAACAGUACGUCUGUUCUGGGAAGACUGGGGAUUUGGCUUCAGUGUCUUUGGGCAGUACAUUGCCUAAUGCCAUACGUCAUGUAGGGAGGUGCUCUCUGGGCUGUGGUUCCUUCCGUGUAGCGUAGUCAUACACUACAGCUGUCAGUCCACCAUCACUAAUGUCCUAUCAGUUCUUGGAAUCACAACUACCAUGUUGAAAGGGCUGCCCCUAGGCACAUUGUGGGUAGUGUGGUGGUUAGGUUUCCUCAUGUAAGCACAGGGAAGCCUGAAGUCUCCUGGGACAAUGCAAAAUGGUGAUUUUAAUGAGCAAAACUAGACUCUGUGAGAAAUGCUGGAAACUGUUUAGACCAGUUAUAAAGUUAGAGAGGAAAGACUGUAUAAAUGUUUAAUAUGAAUAUAGUGUUCUUGGAGUAAGGCAAGCUGUUGAAUGGUUCACUUGUGCAUUUCUCAUUUUGAAGUGUCAUGUAUGUUAAUACGAUGAAAUAAAAUCAAAACUGGUACCUGUUUAUA